AUACGGAGGCUGCAAGCGUUACUCGGAAUCACUGGGCGUAAAGCGCGCGCAGGCGGCUUGAUAAGUUGGAUGUGAAAGCCUACGGCUCAACCGUAGAACUGCAUCCAAAACUGUCAGGCUAGAGUGUGGGAGAGGAAGAUGGAAUUAGUUGUGUAGGGGUAAAACCCGUAGAGAUAACUAGGAAUACCAAAAGCGAAGGCAAUCUUCUGGAACACUACUGACGCUGAGGCGCGAAGGCGUGGGGAGCAAACAGGAUUAGAAACCCGUGUAGUCC
rnacentral:rRNA from 1 species